CUUUAAGGGAUGGGAUCCAGGUUUGCUUCCCUGUACCUAAUAUAAUGCUUCUCAGAUAAUAGGUGCUCAAUAAAAUUUUUUUGAGUAAACAUCUCUUUUUUGUUUGUUUGUUUGUUUGUUUCGAGACAGAGUCUUGCUCUGUCACUAGGCUGAAGUGUAGUGGCACAAUCUCACCUCUGGAUUCAAGCAAUUCUCCUGCCUCAGCUGAGACUACAGGCAUGUGCCACCACGUCUGGCUAAUUUUUGCAUUUGUAGUAGAGACGGGAUUUCACCAUGCUGGCCAGAAUGGUCUUGAUCUCUUGGCCUCCCAAAGUGCUGAGAUUACAGUCACGGAUACAGAGUCCUGUCCUAACUCGGAAACUCUGCUCCACCACUAUCUGCAGAGGAGAAGAAGUAUUUAAGCUGAAUACGUCCAAGUUGAUGUGGAUAAAAACCCAAGGAACUUUUCCUAAAGGAAGCCUCAUUUUAUUGGAAUGCAAGCAUUGCUGUGGAAUAGGGAAGAAGAGAAAGAAAAUGGGAAAAUGGCCAUCAGCAACUGCUUUUAAUGGAAAUGGUAUGAGGGCCCCUCACUCUCUUCUACACGGUUUGAGUCCAUGCUCCCCAGAGAGCAAAUCUGAGGCUGCAAUGAAAAUACUUCAUUUGAGAAAGCCUGGUCUGCAAGUUCUCUCUUCUUUGAUGCCUCUUUGAGGGGGAAUGUUUCCAUUGUGUGUGGGUUUUUGAUAUGUAGCUUUGAAGAGAAUACUAAAUCCUUCCAUGAAAAGGUUGAAUAUUGUGCUCUUUGCUGAGUAAAGAGAGUUGUUGUUUUUGAGUAAGACUGAAAUCCCACUCAAAGUUCCCACUUAUUCACAAUCUGCCACUUCCUCAACAAGCACAUAAAUGCACCCUGCCUUUUAUUUACUUAUUUAUUUUCCAUGGAAGACAUAGCCAUUCUAUUGUUUAAUGAGAACAGAAAUGUAAGAAUGAAAGAGACUAAAGCAUGGAAAUGCAGGUAAGAUUUUUUGAAGAGUGAGGAAAAAAAAUUGAAGCAGGGAUGAAAUGUCUCUAGGCUAGAGGCAUGAUGUACUGAAGUCGGAAAUGUUGGAGGCCGAAGUCUGCAAAGGCCACACUACAUGCUAAAUUCUCUCACUCCCAA
rnacentral:lncRNA from 1 species